rnacentral:rRNA from 1 species
GACGAACGCUGGCGGCGUGCCUAAUACAUGCAAGUCGAACGCAGUGGGGACGGGUGAGUAACACGUGGGUAACCUCCCAUCAGAGGGGAUAACACUUGGAAACAGGUGCUAAACCGAUACUGAUGGAUGGACCCGCGGUGCAUUAGCUAGUUGGUGUGGUAACGGCCCACCAAGGCCACGAUGCAUAGCCGACUUGAGAGGAUGUUCGGCCACACCGUGACUGAAACGCGGCCAAGACUCCUACGGGUGGCAGCAAUAGGGAAUCUUCGCAAAUGGACGAAAGUCUGACCGAGCAACGCCGCGUGAAUGAAGAAGGUUUUCGGAUCGUAAAACUCUGUGGUUAGGGAAAAGGUAUCUGACCAGAAAGCCACGGCUAACUACGUGCCAGCAGCCGCGGUAAUAC